rnacentral:rRNA from 1 species
CCCUUAGAUGUCCGGGGCCGCACGCGCGCUACACUGAAGGAAUCAGCGUGGCUUUCUCCCUGACCCGAAAGGGUUGGGAAACCCGUUGAAUCUCCUUCGUGAUAGGGAUUGGGGCUUGAAAUUGUUCCCCAUGAACGAGGAAUUCCCAGUAAGCGCGAGUCAUAAGCUCGCGUUGAUUACGUCCCUGCCCUUUGUACACACCGCCCGUCGCUACUACCGAUUGAACGGUUUAGUGAGGGCCUCGGAUUGGUCUCGGCCCGCUCUUUACCGGGCGGCGCCGUUGGUCGAGAAGACGCUCGAACUUGAUCGUUUAGAGGAAGUAAAGUCGUAACA